rnacentral:rRNA from 1 species
GACGAACGCUGGCGGCGUGCUUAACACAUGCAAGUCGAACGGAAAGGCCCUGCUUUUGUGGGGUGCUCGAGUGGCGAACGGGUGAGUAACACGUGAGUAACCUGCCCUUGACUUUGGGAUAACUUCAGGAAACUGGGGCUAAUACCGGAUAGGAGCUCCUGCUGCAUGGUGGGGGUUGGAAAGUUUCGGCGGUUGGGGAUGGACUCGCGGCUUAUCAGCUUGUUGGUGGGGUAGUGGCUUACCAAGGCUUUGACGGGUAGCCGGCCUGAGAGGGUGAACGGCCACAUUGGGCCUGAGAUACGGCGCAGACUCCUAUGGGAGGCAGCAGUGGGGAAUAUUGCACAAUGGGCGGAAGCCUGAUGCAGCAACGCCGCGUGCGGGAUGACGGCCUUCGGGUUGUAAACCGCUUUCGCCUGUGACGAAGCGUGAGUGACGGUAAUGGGUAAAGAAGCACCGGCUAACUACGUG